UGACCUCUUUGGUGCUGACCUUCCCAAAGCGAUGCCUUACUGGUUUUGUACUAACCGUGUCCAUUUAUGAGUGUCGUGCCUGCCUGGGGUCCGUUUUUUUGUUUCCCCCUCAGAGCAAACAGGGCUAAGAAGUCAUCUACUCCUUAGAAGAACUCAAGUCGCUGUGACUUUUCUCAUCCAGUAGACUCGUUUGUGUGGAUGCGUGACUAUGGGAAAAAAAAAAAAGAUCCAUUUUUUAGGUUCUUAUCAGCCUGCAGCUAACACCCUGACUGGACAACGAUCUGUCUUGUGCAGGAAAAGGCAGAAGUUCCUACAAGUCUACGUAACAUUGCUGAGACAUGCCUGCUCGUGUGUGUCUUCAACAUGCUGGUUAUUUUCUUUACAGGAUUUGCCUAGACCUUUGUGGUAUCUUGGGGAUGUUUUUUAUUUUACUGUUGAUGCUUAAAUUUCAAAAUUCUGUGUAUUCAAAUUUGAUCGUGGCGAAUCUACUUCAAAAGAAAAAAAUAAUCUGACUUUGUGGAUACUAAAUGGAAGGUUUGCUGUUUUGAGCUAGUUGUUUCCAGUGGAGCAGUUUAUGAAAUAUGUUCUAUAAGAUGUACAUUUUUUCAUUGUAACAUAGAAAUUGUAAAUAAUUGAUUAAAGUGCUGCAUUUUGAUGAAUUUUUUCUAGCCAUUUUUAAAGAGAAAACUAGGAAUUGAGUAUUUUGUGUACGGUAUGUUUCCAUCUUCCCUCCCUGCCUUUGGCCCUCCCCCCACCACCUUCUGCCUUCCGCCCCCCUCCCUACCUUCCUCCCUCCCCCACCUCCCCACACCCCCCCCCCAGCCUUCCUCCCCUCCCCCUCCUUCUUCCUCCCUCCCCCCCUCCUUCCCUAUUUAAUUUUCAUUUGUCCUGAGGUUUUUGGAUUUGCCAACGAUCUGCUGGAGAUCAUGCCCCACGUCAUAGAGAAUAAAGCUGAUGAUUGUACCAGUCUUAAAUUAUUCAUGAUUCAAUAAAAUUUAUGCUUAUUUAUUCA
rnacentral:lncRNA from 1 species